CCCAUGCACCAUUUAACCUAAUGUCCUCUAGUUGAGUAUGUUUCAAAAUAACAAAACUGUUUAUACUUGAAUGUAAGAAUAAGUAUUAAGUUUAAGACAAAGCAGUAUCACACAGACUGUCUAAUACAGGCGUCUAGUUGCUUAACUGUCUUAGGUCUUCUUUGUCGCAUCUUCCUCUCUAUGAUGCGCCAAAUGUUUUCUAUGGGUGAAAGAUCUGGACUGCAGGCUGGCCAUUUCAGUACCCGGAUCCUUCUUCUACGCAGCCAUGAUGUUGUAAUUGAUGCAGUAUGUGGUCUGGCAUUGUCAUGUUGGAAAAUGCAAGAUCUUCCCUGAAAGAGAAAACGUCUGGAUGGGAGCAUAUGUUGUUCUAGAACUUGGAUAUACCUUUCAGCAUUGAUGGUGCCUUUCCAGAUGUUCCGGAUGACAUGGUGUCCCAGUUUUCCAAAAAGAACUUCAAAUUUUGAUUCGUCUGACCACAGAACAGUUUUCCACUUUGCCACAGUCUAUUUUAAAUUAGCCUUGGCCCAGAGAAAACGCCUAUGUUUCUGGAUCAUGUUUAGAUAUGGCUUCUUUUUUGACCUACAGAGUUUAAUCCGGCAACAGCGAAUGGCAUGGUGGAUUGUGUUCACCGACAAUGUUUUCUGGAAGUUUUCCUGAGCCCAUGUUGUGAUUUCCAUUACAGUAGCAUUCCUGUAUGUGAUGCAGUGCCGUCUAAGGGCCCGAAGAUCACGGGCAUCCAGUAUGGUUUUCCAGCCUUGACGCUUACGCACAGAGAUUGUUCCAGAUUCUCUGAAUCUUUGGAUGAUAUUAUGCACUGUAGAUGAUGAUAACUUCAAACUCUUUGCAAUUUUUCUCUGAGAAAAUCCUUUCUGAUAUUGCUCCACAAUUUUUUGCCGCAGCAUUGGGGGAAUUGGUGAUCCUCUGCCCAUCUUGACUUCUGAGAGACACUGCCACUUUGAAAGGCUAUUUUUAUACCCAAUCAUGUUGCCAAUUGACCUAAUAAAAUUGGUCCUCCAGCUGUUCCUU
ensembl:lncRNA